UGAAUCCACAUCACUUUCUGUCGGGCACUGCAGCCUCUGGUUUCUUGCUCUUGCAUUCUGUUUUUCUUUGUUAGUAAGGGAACAUUUUGCAUCCUUUCCCUUUCCUUCCAGCCAGAUUAGCUCCCUGGAUAAGCUGUCUCCUCCAUUUGCUAGCAUCUUGUGAUGUUUUUGGUUUAUUCUUCUUUGAGAGGGCUUUGUGCUGUGCUUCCAACCCAUCUUUCUCAGCAGACCUGGGAUCUCCACCCGUGAACAUCCGUGGCCUUGCAGAAAAGUGGGACUGGCUCAGACUUCACACCAGUGGGUGAAUCCAUCUCCUGGCAGCUUCAGAGCAUGGAUGGACCAGUCCUUCACAGCUACAGCUCUCUGCAAAUGAGACUUUCCAGACACCUUGUCCUCCAUGUGCUGUCACUGCCAUGGGAUGCUCUGCCAGUACCUGGAAGUCCAUUUUAACAAAGCUGAGUCCUUGGAGCCAGCGAGGAAGGGAAGAGGGACUGUGCUCCCUGGGAGAUUGCAGGAAGCCUGCAUAACCCUUUGCCUCCCAGAUGGGAAAACCCACUUCUACACAAGGGAAAAUCUGGUGAUGGAUUUGUGAAAUGCACAGCCCCUGCAGUUAUUCCAUCAUACCUUUGACACAGCAUGAAAGGAUGUGCAACAGAUUCAUCCCAAGGAUACCCUGCACCUGUAGGGAGGGUGGCAGAUGGAUUCUAGGCUGGUGAAGUCUGAAAUGAGGAAAAGCAACCCGUGAAGGUGCGAGCUUGCCGUGAAGGUGUGCACAGGUCACACAUGCCAUGUGUGGGAGUUUGCUUCCCGGGGGAACAAUUGCUUCUAGGUACCUGCUCCUCCCCACUGGCAAGACUGAGCAUCUCUCACUCAUAAAGGAAGGUAAAUUAACAUUUCUGGUCACUGCUCGUAGCUCUGCCUGUUUAGACCUUCAUUUAAUAAAGCUGCUGAUUUCAGCAAGGAGGAAUUCAAACCAGCACCAAGUGCUUUGCUAAUUCCAAGCUGAAGUGAGCUGGAGAGCAGCACGUGGUCCCCAGAACAUGGAAAGGAUGGAUGCUGCCAGGUGAUGAGGAUUCCUCCUUGGGCAUGAAACAGACAUUUUUCAGUGCUUUUCCUGUGUUAUUGGUGUUUAUUUAUUUUCUUUUAGUACUGUGGGAUGUCCCAAACAGACAACCCUUCUCCAUCCUCUGGCUGUGGCAGUAAAUGUCUGCUGUUGAACCCAGCACACUCUGCCAAGCUCCAAGUGCCCAAAGGAGAACUUUCUUUAUCCUCUCUGCUGCCAUCUCCUCCUCAAGAAGCCUAGAGAAUAAUCCCAAUUAGUGCUACAGUGUGGCCUCCUUUGUCUUCCCCUCCUGUGGAGCAUCUCUGGGCUUGUCUCAGGAGGCAGGACACAUGGGUAGCCAGGUGAGAAGCUGGAUCUAAGAAGCCAGGCUGCUGAUGGCCCACCACAUGCCAGCACCCUGUGGGCAGACAGCUGUCCUGAGACAGGAGUGUGGCAGAGGAUAGGGGAAGGAGGGAGGGGUUUAUUUGCCUGGGCCUGGGUGAGCCCCUGGGGAUGGAGGAAAGGGGGUAGAUAUAGAAAGUGCAGCACCUCAGGUGAUGCAGAUUAUCUCCUUUAAUCUCCUGCUCAAAAUAACCCAAAGUCAAGUAAAGGAGGGAUUACAGGGCCUAAGCCACUGUUAUUGCUGGGGUGGAACAGACUUAGGUUGUUUCUGAAGGGCUCCUGAGGAAGAAGAGGAGCUGCAGCAAAUAUCAGCCUGCUGGAAAAGCCUCCUGGUGAGGGUGACUGGGUGGGCUGGGGACACUCCUGAGGUAGCCCAAGGGGAGUUGGAGCUGCAGGGACAGCAGCUGCUGGCAGAUUUAGGAGCCUACACAGGGACCUGGUCCCAGGGAGAAAGUGUCUUAAAUGCCCACUAGUCUCUUUGUUGUUGCCAAUAGGUUUAUUCUUAGUGCAGGACCCAAACUGCUUUAUAGCCAUUAAUUAUCCUAAUGGGGAAGCAGUGCCCUGAAACCCAUUUUACAGAUGGGAAACAGAGCUCAGGAGGAGGUAAAUGACCCAUCAGGUUCUGGGGCAGGGCUAGAGUGAGGUGGCCAGACCCUGUCCCCCACCUCCCUCCAAUUUUAAGGGGCUUUCCCUUGGAUGUGUGUUCCCAUCAGCUGAAGGCAUCUCCUGCCCUUUGCCAAAAAGCCACGCCACAGCUCGGCUGCCGUGCUGCUGCUGGGAAAACUGAGCUGCAGAGCCCUAUCCAUCAGCUCCUGGUGAUGACUCCGAGGUAGCAGCAGCACAGGGACUGUGUGAAGCAGGAUUGCACUGGGGAGGGAGCAGAGCAUGUUCAUUUUAAUGAGCCUGUCCCUGCCUAAAGGAGAGAGAAAGCGAGAGGCCAACCUGGUUUAAUAAACUCUAGCAUGCGGAUUUAAUCAGAUGGAUCAUUGUUCCCCAGCACAGGGAUGAAUAUAUUAAAAAAAUGAUUCAAACUUU